AUACGUAGGUGGCAAGCGUUGUCCGGAAUUAUUGGGCGUAAAGCGCGCGCAGGUGGUUCCUUAAGUCUGAUGUGAAAGCCCACGGCUCAACCGUGGAGGGUCAUUGGAAACUGGGGAACUUGAGUGCAGAAGAGGAAAGUGGAAUUCCACGUGUAGCGGUGAAAUGCGUAGAGAUGUGGAGGAACACCAGUGGCGAAGGCGACUUUCUGGUCUGUAACUGACACUGAGGCGCGAAAGCGUGGGGAGCGAACAGGAUUAGAUACCCUGGUAGUCCACGCCGUAAACGAUGAGUGCUAAGUGUUAGAGGGUUUCCGCCCUUUAGUGCUGCAGCAAACGCAUUAAGCACUCCGCCUGGGGAGUACGGCCGCAAGGCUGAA
rnacentral:rRNA from 1 species